rnacentral:tRNA from 1 species
GCAGUGGUGGUUCAGUGGUAGAUUUCCCACCUCCCAUGCGGGAGGACGGGGUUCGAUUCUUGGCCAAUGCA